rnacentral:rRNA from 1 species
UGCCAGCCGCCGCGGUAAUACAGAGGGUGCAAGCGUUGUUCGGAAUCACUGGGCGUAAAGCGCGUGUAGGCGGCUGAGUAAGUCGGAUGUGAAAGCCCUCGGCUUAACCGAGGAAGUGCAUCCGAUACUGCUCGACUUGAGUCCUGGAGGGGGUGGCGGAAUUCCCGGUGUAGAGGUGAAAUUCGUAGAUAUCGGGAGGAACACCUGUGGCGAAGGCGGCCACCUGGACAGGUACUGACGCUGAGACGCGAAAGCGUGGGGAGCAAACAGGAUUAGAUA